rnacentral:rRNA from 1 species
UACAGAGGCCACGAGCGUUAGGCGGAAUCACUGGGCUUAAAGCGUGUGUAGGUGGAUGGGUAAGUACCUUGUGAAAUCCCACAGCUCAACUGUGGAAAUGCUUGGUAUACUGCCUGUCUUGAGGCACUCAGGGGCGAGCGGAACAGAUGGUGGAGCGGUGAAAUGCGUAGAUAUCAUCUGGAACGCCAAUGGUGAAGACAGCUCGCUGGGGGUGUACUGACGCUGAGACACGAAAGCUAGGGUAGCAAACGGG